AAUUUUGGACAAUGUGGGAAACCCUGAUCCAGCCAUCUCGCGUGUAUGAUGAAGGCCUUCGGGUUGUAUAGUAUUUUUGGCUGAGAAGCAAAGGUAUCCCUUAAUACGGGAUACUGCUGACGUUACUUGCUGAAUACGCCCCGGCUAACUACUUGCCAGCAGCCGCGGUAAGACGUUGGGUGCAAGCGUUAAUCGGAAUGACUGGGCGUAAAGCGUGUGUAGGCGGUUCGGAAAGAAAGAUGUGAAAUCCCAGGGCUCAACCUUGGAACUGCAUUUUUAACUGCCGAGCUAGAGUAUGUCAGAGGGGGGUAGAAUUCCACGUGUAGCAGUGAAAUGCGUAGAUAUGUGGAGGAAUACCGAUGGCGAAGGCAGCCCCCUGGGAUAAUACUGACGCUCAGACACGAAAGCGUGGGGAGCAAACAGG
rnacentral:rRNA from 1 species